AUGAGGAAUAUUGCGCAAUGGAGGCAACUCUGACGCAGCCAUGCCGCGUGCAGGAAGAAGGCGCUACGCGUUGUAAACUGCUUUUAACCGGGAAGAAACCCCAGGACGUGUCCUGGGUUGACGGUACCGGAGGAAUAAGCACCGGCUAACUUCGUGCCAGCAGCCGCGGUAAUACGAAGGGUGCAAGCGUUAUCCGGAUUCAUUGGGUUUAAAGGGUGCGUAGGCGGAGCGUUAAGUCAGUGGUGAAAUCCUGCAGCUUAACUGUAGACUUGCCAUUGAUACUGGCGCUCUUGAGUGCGCUUGAAGUGGGCGGAAUGUGCCGUGUAGCGGUGAAAUGCUUAGAUAUGGCACAGAACACCAAUUGCGAAGGCAGCUCACUAAGGCGAUACUGACGCUGAGGCACGAAAGCGUGGGGAUCGAACAGGAUUAGAUACCCGGGUAGUCC
rnacentral:rRNA from 1 species